UGUCAUUGUACAAAGCUACAAAGGAGCCAAAAUGGGUACAUCUCUAGUGCCCAAACACAACAACAUGUUGAUUUGAUUCGAAGAGAAUUAUGCCUAAACCAACAACUACUCAACCCCCUGAUUCAGCAUCUUAAAGGACUUGUGCUCCGAUUUACAAUACAUCUCUAUCGUGUAAUGACAAAAAUGACAGAUUUGAAUUGCAGCUAAAAACUAGAAUACAAAACAUAGCAAACUCUUAAAGAGUUCCUGAGAAUUAAAAUAAAAAGUACAGCAAACUCCUAAUGAGUAAUAGACUUUAAAAAAAAAAAGAAAAAGAAACAGGAACCCGCUCCACAUCCAUAACGCCAACGAAAUCCAUAAAGCCAUACUAGCUAACCCUUAAUGCAGCACCGGCUAAACCUCAACCCACAUAAACCAGUAACAUUCAUUAUUGUACUCCAAA
rnacentral:lncRNA from 1 species